ACAAGAAGAAUGUAAAUUAUAUUUAUUAUAGCCAAUGAAGAUAUACCAAUCAAUUAAUAAACACAUUUUUAUGGAGAAAAGCUUAGAAGACACACUCCUGACACAAGAGCAAUAUUUGUUAAAAUUGCAUUACAACUGCUUAAUUAUGGAGAUACGACUGUGCAUGAUAUUUAAUUUUUUUUAACCUAGCCAUUCUGAAGACAGAAGUCUAUUUCCCUAGAGAAAGUGAACAAACAAAAACAAUACAAACACACAAAAGGCAAAUUUAAUGAAAAAAAUCAGAAAAUGUAUUGGAAUUCUCUUUGAUCCUCUGAAACCUAAUUUCUCCAUAGAAGCUCUAGUACUUCAUAGUAAAUGAUUCCAUAGAAGUACCAAAAAAAGCAGAAAACAUCCUUUUCAUUUCACAGAUGGGGAAACUGAGGCUCAGGAAAGUUUAAUUGGCAUAAUAAGACAUUUCUCUGUGGAAAGUUAUAUUAAACUGGAAGUACACUCAUGGCAAAUCUUUAAAAACACUAGUGUAGAUGUACCCUCAAAAGAGUAAAUACUCAAAAAAGUUUUACUCCUUGGAGCAUACCACUCAGCAGUCAGCUCUGUAAAUAAUUUAAACCUAUGGGAGUGCCCUCAGCCAUAUUUAAACCAGGAAGACUCAUCCUGAGUUUGGGUGAAAGAUGUACUCAGAUGCUGAUGCAAACACACAGAAACCACAGUCCCUACUACUAGAAGAGCAUAUUGAAUUGAAUCUAGAAUGUUCCGGAAUAUUCUAGAACAUAGUAUUCUGCCAGGAAUCCAGCUGACCGAAUUACCCACACUUGCCCACCUUAGGCCUUCAUUCGCAGCAGGCAUGUGUGCCUGGGUUUGUUACCAGCAGCCAUUUUCUCACCCUUAAAUGAGGGAUGGGUCUCCCCUUUUCUUUUUCUCAUUUUCCUAGAGGUUACAAGAUUCCUGUUUUUCUCACCAGGAGGAGAGGUCAGCCUCAGUGAGCUCAUAGCAGUCAUACAUUGCCAGUGUUUUUCCUCAAGUGGAAGGAGAAAGGCCUUCAGAAAAAAAAUCGUAUGCAAACCUAGUGCUACCACCAGCAGUAGCUCUGAAUCGAGAUUUUUGGGAGAAUUAGGCUUACUAAAGAUAAACUACAAUAAGUCUCAAGGAAGCAAAUAAUUCUGAUUCUAAUGAGGAAUCCAAGAAUAAAGGCAGCUCUUAAGGUACGGAAGUGAACUGUCUGUGGGUGACUUGCCUGGAUGCCGGCUAUAGCUGCAGCCCCCAAAGUCGAAGCUACCAGAACAGGUUGGAUGAGGAUGGCCCAAAGAUUAUGGAGUUGCUGGCCCCAAAGCAAGUCAGACACUAUGGGAAGUUUGCAUGAAUCAUGCCCUUGGAUAGACAACCUAAAUCAUACCUCAUCGAGCAUGGAUCCUGGUCAGCAUACCAAGUCAAGGCAAGUAAAGACUGAAGAAAUAUCACCUGGUCUGCAGCUCCCCCCAGAACGAAGUCUGCUACUGAUGGCAGAAGCAUAGAUAGACCAAGGGUAUCACUAUGUAAUGAUGGAAGAAGGAAAAACCCCAUGCAUUCACUCAUGUCUUGAAUCACCUAGAGAAGAGAGGGAAUCUGCCAAAGUGGACACAAUAGAAAUUCAGUUCUAAAUUUGGAGGAAAUGAGGCCCACUCUCAGAUAAGAUGAAAAGUAAAAGCCCUAGGAUCCAAUGGGGUAUUAAACAAAUAUUUAAAAGUAGAGAGGUGGUGACCAGUUAUUUCCUGAUAUAUAGAAUACCAUGGGUCCAUAAAGAAUUUUUUAGAGUAUCAAUAUUAUUAACACUUUGAAGAAGACAUAUGAAAAACUGAUUAAAUUAUAAAUUAGGAAAUCAUAGAUCAUUACUAUUUGUAGCCUCUCUACUCCCCUCUGAUUACAGAACUUUAGGCAGUUUGUCUGGAUUGGUGAUUGCUGGAUAAAAGCUCAAGAAAAGAAAGUAGCCAUCAAGAUACUUCUCUUGGGAGGCCGAGGCGGGCAGAUCACUUGAGGUCAGGAGUUUGAGACCAGCCUGGCCAACAUGGUGAAACCCCAUCUCUGCCAAAAAAUACCAAAAACAUUAGCUAGCCAUGGUGGCGCAUGCCUGAAGUCCCAGCUGCUCAGGAGGCUGAGGCACAAGAAUCACUUGAACCCAGGAAGUAGAGGUUGCAGUGAGCAGAGAUUGUGCCACUGAACUCCAGCCUGUGUGACAGAAUGAGACUCCGUCUCCAAAACAACAACAACAAAAUACUUACCUUGCAUUCACAGAUUUUAUGAAGAAAAGUUUGGUAUUGUUAGAUUAGAUGUACAAGCUAUGUUCCCAUAUGGGAUUUUAGAAUCAGGAAAUCUGGAUUCUUUUCCCAGCUCUGCCACUUACCAGCUAUAUAAUUUGGGGCAAGAUACUCUCUCCGAUCCUCAGUUUCCUCAUCACUAAAAGGAGAGGAAAAAGAUUUCUUCUUUCAUUCUAAAAUUCCACCACUAGAAAUUUUAGGAAUUAAUCAUGAAUAUACACAAGAGUUAUCAUAAUAUUAUUUAUAUCAGCAAAACAUUCAAGGGAACACCCAAAUAUUAGCAGUAGAGGAUGGCAAAUAAAGCAUGAUAUGUUUACCAAAUGGAAGGCGCUACCAUCAUUAAAAUAAAGAAAAAUAAAUCAGAGACAAUGAUGUUCCAGCUGCAUUAUGAGAAACAAAAAAAUUCAAAGUCCCAAAGCAUAGUAUAUCAUUUUGUCAAAAAAGGAAAAAAAAAUGUAUAGAAAAAAGACAAAAAAUACAUACACCAAAUUAAUGAGAGUGAUUAUGUUUGGGUGGAGGAAUUAUGACUGAUUUUUCUUUGUCUAUGUUUUCUAAAAUUUCUAUAAAACACCUGUACAAAUAAAAUUAUAAUAAUAAGAAAGAAAAGUUAAUAUUAAAUAACUAUUCCACAAGGUUACUGUGAAGAUAAAAUGAAAUAAAGCAAGGCAAUGUUGACCUAAUAUUAGUUUUUAAUAUUGCAAACAUCUCUCUGUGACUGUUAGGAGACCCAGUUUCCUAUGGCAAGUACUAAUUGCAUUAUCCUUUCUAGAGAACCCUAUGUGAAGUCUGAAGUGAAAGUGUGAUAGCAUAGCUGGCUACUUUCAGGAGUGCCCUAUGGUGAUGG
rnacentral:lncRNA from 1 species